ACCUCCCUGCCUCCCACCUCCCUGCCUCCAGCCUCCCGCCUCCCUGCGUCCUCUCCCCCAGCCCUCCUGCCUCCAGCCUCUAGCCUGCACAUGUAGGGAGGGGCAGUCCUGCAGCCAAGCCAUGCUGUGUGCCCCGAGCCUGUGCUACUGAGGAAGCCAUUUCUUCAGCCUGUACUACUGAGGAAUAGAAAAUUGUAAGUACAACAUUUGGCACUGAAGUGAGGAUUUAUUUAGAGUGAGACAAGAAAUGACAGCUAAUUGCAAGUUUCCACAGUAUCACAGCAUCACCAAACCCGAAAAAAGAAACCUCUACCGUAUUUUUGUCCUGCAUUUUGGGGAUGCAUUCCCUGUGAUGACCUUCCUCCACCUAUAGUAUGAUACAUCAAGACGCCGGGAAGAAGUUCCAGAGACCAAUGCCCAGCUCCUCACAUGGCCCACCUGUUUCUUUCCACCCCCACGUGUUGCCUGUGUGGGUCGCUGUUGAGCACGUUCAUACUGCGUCUGCACCAUCGUGUGGUGCCCUGUGGGUGAAGAUGGCACCAGUGCAGGUAGGAGGGUUUCUGAAGACCAUUCCUACACCAGGACAGGUAGAAAUCGCUUAACUAUGUUAAGAAUAGACUAAGAACCACCUAACAUCCUAAACCCAAACAAACCCUGUCCUCAACUCGAAUCCGCCUUAUCCACACCCAUUCCCAUUUCCGAUGUCCACAGACACGGGGAAGUGUGGAGGGGGGAGGGCGAAGUUCAGGAUGGAAGAGACAGUAACUUUAACAAUCGCAAAUUGUAAACCUGCCUUGGAGCUUGCCCUUGUCUUCCCCUUCCCCGUGCCUCUCCAGUCCGAGCACUUGAGUCCUCUGGAAAUGUACUAGAUUGCUGAUGCAUUCAGGAAGUACUUUCUGAACAUCUACUUAUCCUAGGCACUGUGAUUAGCACUGGAGUACAGCCAGGAUGUUGGAAAAGUUCUCCACCUGGAACUUUCUGGGCCGCUUCGCACUGAAGCUGGUUUCCUAGCCUGGCAUCAGUCCUGAGACAAAGCUGUCAGACUCACAAAGCUGCUCAGGGGGUUGUGAGCUGGAGAGAAACUUCUGCCUAUCAGAGGCCCUUUUGUCCCCUCCUCCUCCCAACCCAGCCCCAACCAAUCACUUAGCAAUUUCUGGGAUCAAACCUCCUUAUCACUUAGAGGCACUGUCUUAAGAUUACUACAGGCUCCAAGGAAGGUCCUUUUUGAAAAUCUUCAGGAGAACGUCGAUCAAUUAAAAGAUUAAAAUUGAUACUGAAUUUCUGGUAUGUCUAACAAGGAGAGGAAUUCGUCAGAUCUACUCGUCACACAUUUGAAGGAGACAGAAUAUAAAAAGAACUAAAUUGGCACAAAACUUCCUUUCAGAAACUGAGCUAGCAUUACCGAAAAGAGCAAAGUCCACUAAGCUCAUUCAUUGGCUUAUGAAAUUGUAGCCUAGUGGCUUACAUCCAACCCCAGGCCUCUCUUAGUCCUGCCUUCUACUUGGGAAAAUUUAUAUGCAAUAAAGAUCUGAAUACCUAG